ACUCCAUUUAUCAACCUAAAGCCUUCAGCUGUUCUUCAAUUUAGAAAGAGGUGUUUACAUGAGAGGGCAAAGUUUGAAGUUAUUGUUGGGUUGUUUUAGGGAAGCUUUCACCUUGAUUCUGCUGCACCAUAAGGUUAAGGAGUUUGAGCCCUAAAGCCACAGCUUUCAAUGAGGGGAGGGUCUGCCCUAUCUCCAAUGAGAGGGUCUGAUGUGGACUCUUCUGUCUUGGUGCCAGUCCCUGUGCUCCUGAGAGCUUCUUCUGCAGCAUGCUAUAACUGUACCUUCUGCCUGUCCACCUCCUGGGACUGGGGGGGGGGGGGGGUGAUGUGUCUUGGCUAGAGAAGGUUUCUGGACUCAGGGUCACUUUGGGCAGAACAACCCAGGGAGCCUAGAAGGAAGGCAGUGAAUUUUCUGAGAUCUGAUACUGAGAUAUGGGAAGCUGUCUCUUCUGUUUGCCUCAUCUACACAAGCUGUGACUUAAAGAGCAGAAAAAGCAGCAAGCCUGGGAUGAGCUCCCUCCGUCUAGUACUGGAGCACUCGGGAUCAAAGCUUCCCUUACACAGCCUGACUCCUGAGCUGCUCAACAAAGUGUGAGGAUGGUUUCUGGCUCAUCUGUUCAUUCAAGCUUUUAAUUAGUUACCAGCUAUCCUCAUGGUGAGGAAUUGACGCCUGAUGUUAUUGAGGUACUUAUUCAAGCGUUCAUGUUUAUGCAGAUGCAUUCUUUUUAUAUCGGAUUUUGGGAAGUCAUAAGCCGUGGUAAGGAAUUAAAUGACAUGUAAAGAAGAAAUGUGACCCAUUGAUCAAGACGCGCCACCAGUGAGCAGUCUAUCCAGGCUGUGAAUUGGCUGGUCCCCAGAGAGGCCCAUUCAAAAAAAGAACUGAUGCUUGCAUUUUCCAGCAUCUAUAUGCAGAAUCCCAAGUGGUUAUACAAUGCGCAGUCGUGACUUGUCCUGCAAACACACAUUGUCGCAGUCCUUACACUGGUCCUGUUUUUGAGUUAGUGUAAAAGCUGUCCUGGAUGGGUAUGCGCACUGCUUGACUACUUGCACAGAACUGGGCCAUUAGCCCAUAGACAGGGGAGGGUAUAUCACGCUACCCAGAAAAUCAGGUCCUUAGCAAAACCACAGGACACAGAGGCACUCAGCAGCUUCUUAUCUGCUCCCCACUGCAGUGAUUCUGCAGCUGCCAUUGCUGCACAUUCAUAUAAGAGGACAUGGCAUGACCAAAUAAACACAAAUAAGCUCAAACCAGUCUCUAAGAUGUAAUCAAAGAAUGUAUUUUAACUAGAGAGUUCAGACAGAGAUAAGGGGCAUGCGAGACAAUCUAUUUUUUCCUUUAAAUUUGUUGCAUGCAAGGGAGCAGAUUUUCCUAUAAUGUAAAUCAGCAUAGCUCCACUGUCUGGAGGGAGCAAUUGUAAUUUAUCCUGCCUGAAGGCCUGCACAGAAGGUGCUUGAGGUUUCUCGCAAUUCACUGGAGACUUGUGACAUUGAGAGCAGGCAUUUGAGCUCCACUGUCUUCUGGAGCGAUUUGCAGCGCAGGCAACUUAUAAUUACAAACACUUGAUAAAUCUUCUUCAGAGAAACUGGGGAGUUUGGUAGGAUGCUUGAGUUGGUUGUGACCAAUUUCACCUCCUGUAAGGAAGCUGUGUUUCUGCAAUUUUGAUCUCAGCACAAAAGCAUCGCUCAGCAACACUGUGGAAGAGGUUGUGAGGGUUCAGCCAAGCUUUAAAAUAUUUCAAGGAUCUUCUUUGUCUUGUGGAGAUCAGUGGGUUCCUUUCCUGCCAAGCUGGAAACCUGUGGGAAACAAAAGGAACCUAUUUCAAGCCAUUUUGUGAGAACAAUACCUUUCCCCAACACCUUAUGCAGCUGGUAAAUACCAUUCCUUUUUCAGGUACCUAAUCUUUUUUAGCAAUGUUCAGCCACCUACACCUGACCACCAACUUUUCACUCUGUUUGCCUUGGCUGACAUUUAUAUAACAAAGAGCUGCUAACUGUUCUUUUAUCUGCACAAGAAAGUCGAGCGCAGGAGGAGACAAAUAUGAUGGGCACCAUACGGCAGCACAGAGCUGCACUGCUCCCUGUAUAUCCAGACUCUCUAAUGGUUAUAUUGAGCCAUUGCUCAGAAAAAAAUGCUGCUGGUUGCUUGGAGUGCUUUAACUCUCAUGUUCCUGGUUAAAAAAAAAAAAAAAAAAAAAAUAAUAAUAAUAAUAAAAAAAAUGCUGUUAUA